AUUGAACGCUGGCGGCAUGCUUUACACAUGCAAGUCGAACGGCAGCGCGUGCUUCGGCCUGGCGGCGAGUGGCGGACGGGUGAGUAAUGCAUCGGAACGUGCCCCGUAGUUGGGGAUAGCCCGGCGAAAGCCGGAUUAAUACCGCAUACGACCUGAGGGUGAAAGCGGGGGACCGAGAGGCCUCGCGCUAUUGGAGCCGCCGAUGUCGGAUUAUCUAGUUGGUGGGGUAAAGGCUUACCACGGCGACGAUCCGUAGCUGGUCUGAGAGGACGACCAGCCACACUGGGACUGAGACACGGCCCAGACUCCUGCGGGAGGCAGCAGUGGGGAAUUUUGGACAAUGGGGGCAACCCUGAUCCAGCCAUGCCGCGUGCGGGAAGAAGGCCUUCGGGUUGUAAACCGCUUUUGUUCGGGAAGAAAUCCUCUGGGCUAAUACCCCGGGGGGAUGACGGUACCGGAAGAAUAAGCACCGGCUAACUACGUG
rnacentral:rRNA from 1 species